rnacentral:lncRNA from 1 species
GGAGCCAAAGAUAGAAAAAUAUCGAAAGAAAAGAAAAAAAAUCUCAAAUUGGAUGACAAAAGACCUAGAAGUAGAAAAAUGCCCAAAGAAAAAGAAAAGGCCUCAAACUAGGCUGUCGAGGGGUCAAAGUUAGAAAAAGCCCAAAGAAAAGAAAAAAGCCUCAAACUAUGUGGCGUAGGAGCUAGAGAUAGCCAGUGAAACCGUAUGAUAGAGAGAAAUUUGCCAAGC